AGAGUUUGAUCCUGGCUCAGGAUGAACGCUAGCUACAGGCUUAACACAUGCAAGUCGAGGGGAAACGAUAGAGAAAGCUUGCUUUUUCUAGGCGUCGACCGGCGCACGGGUGAGUAACGCGUAUCCAACCUGCCCACCACUUGGGGAUAACCUUGCGAAAGUAAGACUAAUACCCAAUGAUAUCUCAAGAAGACAUCUGAAUGAGAUUAAAGAUUCAUCGGUGAUGGAUGGGGAUGCGUCUGAUUAGCUUGUUGGCGGGGUAACGGCCCACCAAGGCGACGAUCAGUAGGGGUUCUGAGAGGAAGGUCCCCCACAUUGGAACUGAGACACGGUCCAAACUCCUACGGGAGGCAGCAGUGAGGAAUAUUGGUCAAUGGACGAGAGCCUGAACCAGCCAAGUAGCGUGCAGGAUGACGGCCCUAUGGGUUGUAAACUGCUUUUAUAAGGGAAUAAAGUGAGUCUCGUGAGACUUUUUGCAUGUACCUUAUGAAUAAGGACCGGCUAAUUCCGUGCCAGCAGCCGCGGUAAUACGGAAGGUCCGGGCGUUAUCCGGAUUUAUUGGGUUUAAAGGGAGCGUAGGCCGGAGAUUAAGCGUGUUGUGAAAUGUAGACGCUCAACGUCUGCACUGCAGCGCGAACUGGUUUCCUUGAGUACGCACAAAGUGGGCGGAAUUCGUGGUGUAGCGGUGAAAUGCUUAGAUAUCACGAAGAACUCCGAUUGCGAAGGCAGCUCACUGGAGCGCAACUGACGCUGAAGCUCGAAAGUGCGGGUAUCGAACAGGAUUAGAUACCCUGGUAGUCCGCACGGUAAACGAUGGAUGCCCGCUGUUGGUCUGAAUAGGUCAGCGGCCAAGCGAAAGCAUUAAGCAUCCCACCUGGGGAGUACGCCGGCAACGGUGAAACUCAAAUGAAUUGACGGAAGGGCGAAUCGCGGCCGCU
rnacentral:rRNA from 1 species